UUAUCUUCCCGCGUGCCAACAGUGCCAUCCUAUUCUAGAAAGGAAACACUAAUUAUAACAAUUAACGACUUCCCUCGCUCCCGGUCCAUUCCGAUUUCCCAAGUUCUUUCUUAUAGUAGCCAGCAUCAGCAACACAUAGAGAGAGAUGUUAAAAAGCUCUAGCGAGGGACCUUAUAAAUUCCCCUCUCUUUCGCUUAAUUCUUUCCACUUUCUCUCUCUACCUGAAGUAAACGAAGCGACAACGUCCUCUUGCGUUUAACUGCAUUGUUGAGGUGUUGUAAUCAUGUAUGGGCGUAGUGUUCCGAGGAUGUGUAAAAACACCAAGUAUUAUGAGGUUCUUGGCGUGUCAAAAGGUGCAAGUCAAGAUGAACUGAAGAGGGCUUAUAGGAAAGCUGCCAUAAAGAAUCAUCCUGAUAAAGGUGGAGAUCCUGAAUAGGAGUUAUCUCAAGCUUAUGAAGUCCUUAGUGAUCCAGAUAAAAGAGAAAUUUAUGAUCAAUAUGGGGUAGAUGCACUUAAGGAGGGAAUGGGAGGAGGUGGUGGUGGUCAUAGUCCAUUUGAUCUUUUUAAAUCAUUUUUUAGCAGAGGUGGUUUUGGCGGUGAGGCUGAGAGACCAUAGGAUGCCCCUUGGACAAGAUUUUAGUUUUAAAAGAACCAGCAUUGUUGAGGUUUUUGUUUUCUGUUCCUGCUAACUGGUGCAAGAAUGGACACAUUUUAUUAUCAAUUUUCUGAAUGCCCACAUUGAUGCGGUUGCAACACUUCAGAAUCAAUUUUGUGAAUGCAUUUGAAGAUAGUGGUUGGUCUGCAAUUUAAUUCUUGCCAUUAGACUUUAAUAUAAUUUUUAGUUCUACGUUGUUCCAAUAAUGUCUAUAGUUUAACAGAAUUUUCUCUUAUGCAAUUGCAUUAAACAAAAUUUUAUUUUUCAUCAUGUCAUUUGCAGCCUGACUCAAUUACAAGGGGAUGUUGUUGUAUUGCAAUUGAAAGAGCACCCCAAUUUUGAACGGAAAUUGGAUGAUCUCUAUGUGAAAUGCACUACCAGUUUAACAGAGGUUUUGUGUAUCAGUUUUCCCUUACUCAUCUUGAUGGUCGGCAGCUUCUAUCAAAUCAAAUCCUGGCGAGAUCAUAAAACCUGGUGUUACUUGUAAAUUUAUUCUUUGAAUUUCAUUCUUAGCUCCUCACUCUUGAUCACUUGACAUCCUUCUGAAUUCAGGUCAGAACAAAGCAAUUAAUGAUGAAGGAAUGCCACAUUAUCUCAGGCCCUUCAUGAAGGGCAAGCUUUAUAUCCGUUUUAAUGUGGAGUUCCCUGACUCUGGGAGUCUAUCCCCUCAGCAGUGCGAAGAGACAAUAAUGCAUGAUGUCAAUAUGGAGGAGGAGAAAAGGCACAAACAGCAGCAGCACCAGCAGCAGGAGGCAUAUGAUGAGGAUGAAGAACCAUCCACGUCCUGAGUGCAGUGUACCAACAUUAAGCCAUUUAUUACUGUUUCUCUGUCAAGCUGAAUUCUGCAACGAUGGGUUAGCAUCGAUUUAUAAUCUGUAGUGUAAAGACAUAAUUUGUUUCACAUAUUCGUCUUCUCAAGCUAAUUAUAUUCGAUUUAUAA